rnacentral:rRNA from 1 species
CCUACGGGUGGCAGCAGUCGAGAAUCAUUCACAAUGGGGGAAACCCUGAUGGUGCGACGCCGCGUGGGGGAAUGAAGGUCUUCGGAUUGUAAACCCCUGUCAUGUGGGAGCAAAUUAAAAAGAUAGUACCACAAGAGGAAGAGACGGCUAACUCUGUGCCAGCAGCCGCGGUAAUACAGCGGUCGCAAGCGUUGGUCGGAAUCACUGGGCGUAAAGCGUGCGUAGGCUGUGAGGUAAGUCAGCGGUGAAAUGCCCCCGCUCAAAGGGGUGAAGUGCCAUUGAUACUGCCUUGCUGGAAUGCUGACGCCGUGUGAGGAGUGUGUGGUGUAGCGGUGAAAGGCACAGAUAUCACACAGAACACCGAUUGCGAAGGCAUAUCACGAAGCCGCGAUUGACGCUGAUGCACGAAAGCGUGGGUAUCAAACAGGAUUAGAUACCCCUGUAGUC